AAUAGGAGAAUGACAAAUCGGAUUUUUCCUCUUUAUUUUUACUUUUUUACUCUUGACAAAAUUCAAAUCUAAUUAAAAAUGCUAAAAAUUAGGAGAAAAACUCUUAUUUGUCAUUCUCCUAUU
rnacentral:pre_miRNA from 1 species